rnacentral:rRNA from 1 species
UACAGAGGUCUCAAGCGUUGUUCGGAUUCAUUGGGCGUAAAGGGUGCGUAGGUGGCGCGGUAAGUCGGGUGUGAAAUUUCGGAGCUUAACUCCGAAACUGCAUUCGAUACUGCCGUGCUUGAGGACUGGAGAGGAGACUGGAAUUUACGGUGUAGCGGUGAAAUGCGUAGAUAUCGUAAGGGAAGACCAGUGGCGAAGGCGGGUCUCUGGACAGUUCCUGACGCUGAGGCACGAAGGUCAGGGGAGCAAACGGG